GACGAACGCUGGCGGCGUGCCUAAUACCUGCUAGUAGGACGCAGAUGCGAACGGGUGAGUCACGCGUCGGUAACUGCCUAUUAGAGGGGGAUGACUAAUGGAAACGAUAGCUAAUACCGCAUACUAGUAGAUGGACCUGCGUUGUAUUAGCUAGUAGGUAGGGGAAUGGCCUACCUAGGCAACGAUACAUAGACGACCUGAGAGGGUGAUCGGCCAAACUGGGACUGAGACACGGCCCAGACUCCUACGGAAGGCAGCAGUAGGGAAUCUUCGGCAAUGGGGGGAACCCUGACCGAGCAACGCCGCGGGAGUGAAGAAGGUUUUCGGAUCGUAAAGCUCUGUUGUUAAGGAAGCGGUACUUAACCAGAAAGGGACGGCUAACUACGUGCCAGCAGCCGCGGUAAUAC
rnacentral:rRNA from 1 species